rnacentral:rRNA from 2 species
GGAGUCUAGCAUGUGCGCGAGUCAUUGGGACUAGCGAAACCUAAAGGCGAAAUGAAAGUGAAAGUCGGCCUCGCGCCGACCUAGGGAGGAUGGGUCGCGCUACGGCGCGACCCCGCACUCCCGGGGCGUCUCAUUCUCAUUGCGAGAAGAGGCGCACCAAGAGCGUACACGCUGGGACCCGAAAGAUGGUGAACUAUGCCUGGUCAGGACGAAGUCAGGGGAAACCCUGAUGGAGGUCCGAAGCGAUUCUGACGUGCAAAUCGAUCGUCGGAACUGGGUAUAGGGGCGAAAGACUAAUCGAACCAUCUAGUAGCUGGUUCCCUCCGAAGUUUCCCUCAGGAUAGCUGGCGCUCGCUUUUGCGAGUCUCAUCUGGUAAAGCGAAUGAUUAGAGGCAUUGGGGUCGAAACGGCCUCAACCUAUUCUCAAACUUUAAAUGGGUGAGAUCUCCGGCUUGCUUAAAACGUGAAGCCGCGAGAUCGGAUCAGAGUGCCAAGUGGGCCAUUUUUGGUAAGCAGAACUGGCGCUGUGGGAUGAACCAAACGCAGAGUUAAAGCUCCAAAAUCAACGCUUAUGGGAUACCAUGAAAGGCGUUGGUAACUUAAGACAGCAGGACGGUGGCCAUGGAA